AUCAAACUCUCUCUUCAAAUAAAUCAACAGCAACAUUUCCCAUGAGAAGCCCCAGGUUAUGGAAAAUCCAUACACAGUAGCUGAAUUGUCAACAGCAAUCAAGACAUCUAAGAUUGACUUUGAUAACAAUACUCUGUAAUAUAAAAACAAAGUGUAGACUCCUUAUAGGAUAGCCAUUUUUCUUAAGGCAAUUUGGUACAGAUGCAGACUUUGG